rnacentral:rRNA from 1 species
GACGAACGCUGGCGGCGUGCUUAACACAUGCAAGUCGAACGGAAAGGCCCUGCUUUUGUGGGGUGCUCGAGUGGCGAACGGGUGAGUAACACGUGAGUAACCUGCCCUUGACUUUGGGAUAACUUUAGGAAACUGGGGCUAAUACCGGAUAGGAGCUCCUGCUGCAUGGUGGGGGUUGGAAAGUGUCGGCGGUUGGGGAUGGACUGGCGGCUUAUCAGCUUGUUGGUGGGGUAGUGGCUUACCAAGGCUUUGACGGGUAGCCGGCCUGGGAGGGUGACCGGCCACAUUGGGACUGAGAUACGGCCCAGACUGCUACGGGAGGCAGCAGUGGGGAAUAUGGCGCAACGGGCGGAAGCCUGAUGCAGCAACGCCGCGUGCGGGAUGACGGCCUUCGGGUGGUAAACCGCUUUCGCCUGUGACGAAGCGUGAGUGACGGUAAUGGGUAAAGAAGCACCGGCUAACUACGUG